UACGUAGGGGGCAAGCGUUGUUCGGAAUUACUGGGCGUAAAGGGCGCGUAGGCGGCGCUGCAAGUCGGACGUGAAAUCCCUCGGCUCAACCGAGGACGUGCAUCCGAAACUGCAGUGCUCGAGUAUGGAAGAGGGUCGCGGAAUUCUCGGUGUAGAGGUGAAAUUCGUAGAUAUCGGGAGGAACACCAGUGGCGAAGGCGGCGACCUGGGCCAAUACUGACGCUGAGGUGCGAAAGCGUGGGGAGCAAACAGG
rnacentral:rRNA from 1 species